CAGCAGCCGCGGGAAUACGUAGGGUGCGAGCGUUAAUCGGAAUUACUGGGUGUAAAGCGUGCGCAGGCGGUUAUGCAAGACAGAUGUGAAAUCCCCGGGCUUAACCUGGGAACUGCAUUUGUGACUGCAUGGCUAGAGUGCGGCAGAGGGGGAUGGAAUUCCGCGUGUAGCAGUGAAAUGCGUAGAUAUGCGGAGGAACACCGAUGGCGAAGGCAAUCCCCUGGGCCUGCACUGACGCUCAUGCACGAAAGCGUGGGGAGCAAACAGGAUUAGAUACCCCCGUAGUCCCUGUCUCUUAUAC
rnacentral:rRNA from 1 species